rnacentral:rRNA from 1 species
CUACGGGUGGCUCCAGUGGGGAAUCUUGGACAAUGGGCGCAAGCCUGAUCCAGCCAUGCCGCGUGAGUGAAGAAGGCCUUAGGGUCGUAAAGCUCUUUCGCCAGAGAUGAUAAUGACAGUAUCUGGUAAAGAAACCCCGGCUAACUCCGUGCCAGCAGCCGCGGUAAUACGGAGGGGGUUAGCGUUGUUCGGAAUUACUGGGCGUAAAGCGCGCGUAGGCGGAUUAGUCAGUCAGAGGUGAAAUCCUAGGGCUCAACCCUGGAACUGCCUUUGAUACUGCUAGUCUUGAGUGCGAGAGAGGUGAGUGGAAUUCCGAGUGUAGAGGUGAAAUUCGUAGAUAUUCGGAGGAACACCAGUGGCGAAGGCGGCUCACUGGCUCGAUACUGACGCUGAGGUGCGAAAGUGUGGGGAGCAAACAGGAUUAGAUACCCUCGUAGUC